UGAUGAUCUGCUUUUUUCUGUUGCCUCCCUCAGGUUUUCUCAGGCCAGGAGAGAGUUUCAGAUUAGAACAUCUGGAGUUUCAUGUUGAAACGGCAUCAUUCCCCCAACGAGACCCGAGUGAAACCAUUAGGCCAAUGAAGACAGAAGAGCAAGUUUGACUGCGCCGACACAUGCAGUGUUCCGGUCUGUUUCUGCACCAUUGUUUUCGCUGACAGAAUGAAAACACAAGGCCCAAACAGAUGCAGAAGAAUACGCAUCACACGUGGUUCCUGUUGACAUUAAAUCAAGCAGAGGGCUGGGAACAGAGGAAGCGGACUAAUUAAUGGAUCGAUUGCUUAUCAGCACAGUAAAUCAGUGAAACUUGUAUUCAGCUUUCCCUCUUAACAAGUAAUUCACAGCACAGUUAAUAGAGUAGGUCAUCCAAAAAUAAAAAUGCUGUCAUCAUUUACUCACCCUCAUGUCAUGUC